AGUGCGGGUUCCCGGGGAGGGGGCGUGCAGGAUCGGGGUGCGGGGGGUGCGCUGUAGGGCUAAGGAGAGGAUGGGCUUUGGGGGGCCCUGAGGAGGAGGGGAGUCAGGAUUAACCGAGGAUAGGGUCGCAGCAGGGGCAUGGGGAGGACCGGCCCUAGAGCGCCGCUCCUCCCCAAAACUAGGAUUUGGAGCCUCACGUUCUCCCUCAAAACGAGCCCUGUGGGUGCCAGGCCAGGGGCGGCGCCCAGGUGUGGAGGGGGCAAGGUACGGGCGUCUGCCGUUGCUAAGUGCCCCCUUCCACUUAAGGCACACCUUCGCCUCCGAUUCCGAACAGCCCGCGGACAGAGGCAAGUGGCAAAGCGGGGAGAGCGAAGAUGGUGGGAGGGCCUGGAGAAAGAGACAGCGUGUGCAGAGGGGGUGCCCCCUCAGAUGGGGGGUCAGGAAGUCUCCCUCAAGUGUCCGGGACAGAGGGACAGCAGGGGCCAAGGCGGAGAUGAGAUCAGUGAGUGAGGGGAGGCCGGAGGAAGUAAGGCUGCAGCCUCGGCCCUGCAAGGGUUUAGACUUUCCUCUAAACGCGGCGGAAGCCCAUGGAAGGAAGCGGUUAG
rnacentral:sRNA from 1 species